rnacentral:rRNA from 1 species
AUUGAACGCUGGCGGCAGGCCUAACACAUGCAAGUCGAACGAGUGGCGGACGGGUGAGGAAAGUCUGGGAAACUGCCCGUUGGCGGGGGAUACCUACUGGAAACGGUAGCUAAUACCGCAUACCAUCGGAUGUGCCCAGAUGGGAUUAGCUAGUAGGUGUGGUAACGGCCCACCUGGGCGACGAUCCCUAGCUGGUCUGAGAGGAUGACCAGCCACACGGGAACGGAGACACGGUCCAGACUCCUACGGGAGGCAGCAGUGGGGAAUAUUGCACAAUGGGCGCAAGCCUGAUGCAGCCAUGCCGCGUGUAUGAAGAAGGCCUUCGGGUUGUAAAGUACUUUCAGCGAGGAGGCGUUACUCGCAGAAGAAGCACCGGCUAACUCCGUGCCAGCAGCCGCGGUAAUUC